UACAGAGGGUGCAAGCGUUAAUCGGAAUUACUGGGCGUAAAGCGUGCGUAGACGGUUAUUUAAGUCGGGUGUGAAAGCCCCGGGCUCAACCUGGGAAUUGCAUUCGAGACUGAAUAGCUAGGGUGCGGAAGAGGGAAGCGGAAUUUCCGGUGUAGCGGUGAAAUGCGUAGAUAUCGGAAGGAACACCAGUGGCGAAAGCGGCUUCCUGGUCCAGCACCGACGUUCAGGCACGAAAGCGUGGGGAGCAAACAAG
rnacentral:rRNA from 1 species